CUGUAAGAUGAGCAUGGUGGAGAUGCACAUGGAGGUCUGGUGUUAACCCCCUGCAUGCCGCAUGCUCCCCCUGGCUGCCGGGCCAAUAAAGAUGAUCUUCAGAAAAAAGCUGCAAAGGAUGAAAGCUGAGGACCAAAGGAACCUGGAGAAAUUAAUUGAAGAAGUGUGAAGACACCACGAGAAACCCUCCAGGGUAAAGAGAAUGGGCAGUGACACCAGAGCCAACAUGCAAAUGAGAAAUGCAUUGCACCCUGGGUUUUUUACAGUUUUACAGUUUUUACAAGAAAAACCCCUAAAAUCACGAGCCAACAAGUGACUUAAGUGACAUCUAAGGAUGGGAGCAUAGUCCCGUACCUUCUUGGACCUUUUUGUUUCUCACCCUAACCUGAAAAGAUACUGAUUAAAGAGACCCCCCGGGUUUUUAAACAAACAAGCUGAGGACUCUAGACUCUCCCGUGAGGACAGAGUCCCCAGCUCUGUCUGCAGACCAGUGGACAAAGCUGCAUCAUCCUCCUUCUUCGUGCCACGCCUGGGAGCAACGGCGGUGUGGGCGCAACCCGUCGAUUUCUCCCCGCCUGAGCUGAUUCUUCUUAAUAAAGGCAUUAAAAAGGAGAAAGAUCUCCUGCCCAUUUAUUUCAGCUUGGGGGACUCGUCUGGGAUAGCCACGCCUGAAGAGGACACCAGGACUGGGACGGCCGCCCACCCUGGACCUGCAGGACAGCUGGCUAUCGGGACCAGAGAAGAUCGGCUUGGGACAGUGACACGGAGCAGCGCCGGAUAGGUACUCCUCAUCACUAAUUCGUCUGUGCGAACCAGAGAAAAAGGUUGGACCCACAUCACGAGAAUUAAAGGACCAGUCCCACCCCCGAGCAUUGGACAAGAUUCUUCAGUGUCUCCCUCUGGUAUUGGACCAGAUUCUACACCACCCUCACACUCUAACUCAGGACAAGAUUCAACCGCAUCAGGAGUUAAUUCAGCUGAGUAUACUAUUAUAAAAGGACCAAAUGACUUAAAAUUGACAUUCAAAAAGACUGAUGAAGUGCAUAAGAAAAAGUUUAGAAUCAUAACAUGUCUUGAAGUGUUUUAAGAAAUUUGUAAAAGUUAAAAAUUGUUAAUAAGUAAUUCUGGUUAAGUCGUCCCAACUUAGUACCAAAGACCCCAGGUUAAUCUUCUCCAGAGUGCUCCCCUAGGAGAGACCAAAUUAGCAGGGACAGAUCAAGAGAGGUUUAACCAGAGGAGCAAGAGAUUCUAAAGAACUUGGAAACUUCUUCUCAGUAAAAUCCUUAAGAGGCAAGACCGGGUGGGCAGGCUGUGCAAGAUGACCCAUACCGGACUCUUGGGAAGGGUAGUAGUGAUGGCUCUGAUUGCUGGUGGUGCUCUGGAGAGCCCAGGAGAGCUGUGCAAUGAGUACUACCAACCUUUCUAUGAGAAAGAAGUAAGUUCCUUGCUGAGAGUCCACAACAAUUGUGUUAACCUCUCCCAAUUGAUCUUUUAUCAAGAGACUAAGAAAAUAUAUUGGAUGGCCCGGAACACUGCCACCUUUAGGCAGCCACUCCUGGGAGAGCACCCUGUAGGAGAAACCUGGUGGUGCUUUGAACAUGAUAGUACUAAAGCAAGCCUGGUAAAUCUGGUCAAAGGAAAAACUAUUUCUAAAUAUUGGGAGGGCACGACAAAAACUAAUAUCUUUCAAGAAACCCCUAAACACCUGUUUUGGGUCAAUGGUACCACAGCAUCCACUGAAUUGCCAAGAGGCUGGUCUAGUGGUGGCAUCAUUAGAAUUAUAAAACAAACUGUCUUUAUAAUACACAAAAAAUCUGGAUCAAGUUUAAGAGUUCCUAUAUAUGAGGAUUUAAGAAAAACAAAACUGAAGAAACGAUAUAUAUAUGUUAAACAAAAUUUUGAAACUACAAUCAGAAUUAGAAGUAAUAUCUAAUCAGACCACAUUAGCUCUUAAUCAUAUUAAUGACCAACUCAACCAAACCAAAACAGUAAUUUAUCAAAUCAAAUUAAUUGUAGCAGUCAUUAGAAACACUUUAAAUGAAAUAAAAAAACUAGCAUAUUUAAGAAAUCAAAAGACUCCUACACUUGAUUCCAGUUGGUGGGAUAAUCUAUGGACUUUCAAAAAAAGUUGGAAAACUAUAACCUUCACUGUGGGUACACUUGUUAGUCUGUUCUUAUUUCCCUGUUUAACAAAAAUAGUGACAUCUGUUGUACAGAAUAACCUAAGGAUCUCUAAAGAAAUUAACCUGAAAAAAACAAAAAAGGUAAUGAAGUUUGGUAAAUAUGAUCACCAGAGUGCUCAGGAAAUGUAUAAUCAAUACAAAAAAUAUAGGAAAUUCUAUGUCAAUGAGCCAAAAAUUAUAAGUUGAUGCAAGCUUAAGCUUAAGCCUGAUCAAAGAAAAAAAGGGGGGACUGUUAUGAAUAAAAAGCUAUCUGUUUUUUAAGGUUGCAGAGUUAAAAACAAGUCAGACCAGUUGUUGUAAGUGAGUUUCACUGCCAAAGAAAAGUUCUUCAAUUACCUGUUAAUGGCUGGUGAUUAACCACUGUCCCCCUGAUGCUGGCCGCUUGCCAGGGAAGGACACCGGGACAGACCCUCCAGGUACGAAGAGAAUAGGAGUGACAUCAGAGCCAGUAUGCAGAUGAGAAAUGCAUUGCGCCCCGAAUUUUUACAGUUUUUACAGGAAAACCCCCUAAAAUUACGAGCCAACAAGUGACCUAAGUGACGUCUAAGGAUGGGAGCGUAGUCCCGUACCUGCUUGGAUCCUUUUUGCUUCUCACCUUAACCUGAAAAUAUGUUGAUUAAAGAGACGCCCCGGGGUGUUAGACAAAAAAGCCAGGAAUCUGCUACUCUCCCAUGAGGACGGAAUCCCCAGCUCUGUCUGCAGACCAGCGGACGAAGCUGCAUCACCCUCCUCCUCUGUGCCACGCCUGGGAGCAACGGCGGCGUGGGCGCGACCUGUCAAUUUCUCCCCACCUGAGCUGAUUCUUCUUAAUAAAGGCAUUAAAAAGGAGAAAGAUC